GAGGUGUCUAGUUCAUGUCAAGCAUUUAAAGACAGAUAAGCUUGGAUCUAAGUUCGAUAGAUGCUUGUUCAUAGGAUAUACAAAAAAAAACUAAAGGAUACUACUUCUACCUCACUAUAAAAUAAAAGGUAUUUGUGAGCAGCCAGGCAGUCUUUUUGAAAAAGGAGUUCCUUAGUGAAGGAACUAAUGCCUGUAAAAUAGAACUUGAUGAAAUUCAUGAGGUGGAAGGACCG
rnacentral:lncRNA from 1 species